rnacentral:rRNA from 1 species
GAUGAACGCUGGCGGCGUGCCUAAUACAUGCAAGUAGAACGCUGAAGGAAGGAGCUUGCUCUUUCCGGAUGAGUUGCGAACGGGUGAGUAACGCGUAGGUAACCUGCCUGGUAGCGGGGGAUAACUAUUGGAAACGAUAGCUAAUACCGCAUAACAGUAGAUGUUGCAUGAUAUCUACUUAAAAGGUGCAAUUGCACCACUACCAGAUGGAACUGCGUUGUAUUAGCUAGUUGGUGAGGUAACGGCUCACCAAGGCGACGAUACAUAGCCGACCUGAGAGGGUGAUCGGCCACACUGGGACUGAGACACGGCCCAGACUCCUACGGGAGGCAGCAGUAGGGAAUCUUCGGCAAUGGACGGAAGUCUGACCGAGCAACGCCGCGUGAGUGAAGAAGGUUUUCGGAUCGUAAAGCUCUGUUGUAAGAGAAGAACGAGUGUGAGAGUGGAAAGUUCACACUGUGACGGUAUCUGACCAGAAAGGGACGGCUAACUACGUG